UCAGAGAAAAAAAGCAAAAAAAAAAACCUAAAGCCCUCCUCUUCUUGUCCUCCGUUGAAGCUGCUGUCGCCGAACUCAAAAUCCGAUUUGAUCGAUCUCUUCCUUGACCCACAGAAAGAGUCUCUUCGGCCACCGUCGCCCAGGGCCCUCCGAUUCAGGUCCAGCAGAGCUGCAACGAAGAUGGAUGCCACUAAGUGCCAUACCGCCAGGAGCCACACGUUCUACAAGCGCAGCAUCUUCACAGGCAACACUACUACAGCCAGCAAAGCUCUCGAUGCAUUGCUGAGUGCUCCUGAAAGAGAAUCCCAGCCACACCUCCACCCAAGUAAACUCAAUGGAGCUUUAUGGUUUGGUGUUGACCCUUCUGUCUACAAGUUUGUUCGAACAACAUGGAAAGCAAAUAGACGUUCCUGAUGAGAGGACAGAUCUUUGGUGGCAAACUUUUGUGCAACACUACUACUGGGAACGGUGAUGGAAGAGCUGGUUGCAUCACGACAAGCACUUAAUCUGUUCAUGCAGUCUCUUGGAAUUAGACAACCCUCUGCUGCUGUUGCUGCUCCUGCUACAACUUCUGCUGCUGCUCAUGCUCCAGCUUCUACAACUCCUGCUUCUUCUCCAGCUACUGCUUUUCCUGCUCCUUCUCCAGCUACUGCUUCUCCUGCUCCAGCUUCUACAACUCCUGUUCCAGCUUCACACCAAGGCAACUUAGAUGCUUGGUGUGCAUCAUUUGGUAUUUAACUUUCAAAGAUUGUUAAGCAUUUUUUGUUAAAACUUUCUAACGGAUAGACUGUUAUUUAGCAAAUCUUUUGGUAGAAUGUAAGUAGUUUGAUGUUUACUACUUAUUGUUAUUUAGUAACUCUUUUUGGUAUGUAAGAUAAGAGUAAUUGUUGUUUAGCAAGACUUUUUGGUAAUAUGUAAACAUCAAACUACUUCUGGUAAUGAAAAAUAUCGGUAUUUGGAUUUCA